GCGUCCUUGGUGUAGCGGUAACACACAGCCUUCUGGUUGAGACAGAAGUUCCACUUUAGGCUGAGUCCGGGGUUCGACCCCCCGAGAACGCA